UGGUACCUUCAACACAGAGACCAGGACAAUCACAUAUGAUAAAUGGUACCUUCAACACAGAGACCAGGACAAUCACAUAUGAUAAAUGGCAGCGAUGCAAAAAACAACGACCCUGUUGUUGUCACUAUGUACACUCACGCCCACAGCCCUCGAUUAGAUUCACUUAAUCUCAAAUCAUGUUAACAGGUGUAGCUGGAGUGACAGGCAGCAGUAUAGAGUUCCGGCUAAAGACGAAACGUGCAAAACGCUCAUAUUAAUUAGCAUAUAGACCGUGUCAAUAUCACCAAGCUCAACUCCCAAGGCAAUGUACCUAAUAGACAGAAGGAAAGAGCACCUGAGUGCAUUUAGAAUCAGGACACAACACUAAAGAGGGAAUGGCAAGAACAUUGCACUUCUGACAUACAUACCAGUACAUACAUACAGUACAUACAUACAGUACAUACAUACAGUAAAUACAUACAGUACAUACAUACCAUACAUACAUACCAGUACAUACAUACAGUACAUACAUACAGUACAUACAUACCAGUACAUACAUACAGUACAUACAUACCAGUACAUACAUACAGUACAUACAUACCAGUACAUACAUACAGUACAUACAUACCAGUACAUACAUACCAGUACAUACAUACAGUACACACAGUACAUACAUACCUGUACAUACAUACAGUACAUACAUACAGUACAUACAUACCAGUACAUACAUACCAGUACUACAUACAGUACACACAGUACAUACAUACAGUACACACAGUACAUACAUACAGUAAUACAGUACAUACAUACAUACAUACAGGUGAAUACACAUUAGACACUGAUAAAGGUUAUUGUGCUCCACACAGACGUACAAAAAAACAGUUUCUCUUUAGCUUGUGCAUCAUCGUUCUUUUAGAUGAAAUGUCAGAUAGUGACUUCUCAUCCUGGUGGCAGACACCUGGCUCACAGCCAGGUGCUGUAUUUGUUCUGAUCCCAACAGCCCUUCAGUUACAAGUUAACCCACAGACUGACAGUUAACCCACAGACUGUUAGUUAACCCACAGACUGACAGUUAACCCACAGACUGACAGUUAACCCACAGACUGACAGUUAACCCACAGACUGACAGUUAACCCACAGACUGUUAGUUAACCCACAGACUGACAGUUAACCCACAGACUGACAGUUAACCCACAGACUGACAGUUAGUUAACCCACAGACGGAGAGUUAGUUAACCCACAGACGGAGAGUUAGUUAACCCACAGACGGGCAGUUAGUUAACCCACAGACUGACAGUUAGUUAACCCACAGACUGACAGUUAGUUAACCCACAGACUGACAGUUAACCCACAGACUGACAGUUAACCCACAGACUGACAGUUAACCCACAGAUUGACAGUUAGUUAACCCACAGACUGACAGUUAGUUAACCCACAGACUGACAGUUAGUUAAGCCACAGACUGACAGUUAGUUAACCCACAGACUGACAGUUAACCCACAGACUGACAGUUAGUUAACCCACAGACUGACAGUUAGUUAACCCACAGACUGACAGUUAGUUAACCCACAGACUGACAGUUAGUUAACCCACAGACUGACAGUUAGUUAACCCACAGACUGACAGUUAGUUAACCCACAGACUGACAGUUAGUUAACCCACAGACUGUUAGUUAACCCACAGAUUGACAGUUAACCCACAGAUUGACAGUUAACCCACAGAUUGACAGUUAACCCACAGACUGACAAAGACAACCCCUUAAAAGCUCCAUCGAAUAACCACCACUUCCAGUGUAACAUGAAUAUAGCGUUCAGCCCACAGGCAGCAGGAAGGAAAGUAGAAAGACAAGAAGCCAUUACUGAAAACAAAGCAAGCUCUUCAGGUUGAUUGAAACCCUUCACUUGGAAUAGCAUGCUAUAGAAAUCACAAAGAAAGAAGUAUAAUUGUAACGGUUGUUGGAAGGAGAGGACCAAAGCGCAGCGUGGUACGUGUUCAUAAUUUUAUUAAUGGAACUGAACACUGAAUAGCAAAACAACAACAACAACUGAAACAGUUCUGUCUGGUGCAGACACAAAAACAGAAAGCAACUACCCACAAAAACCCAGUGGGAAAAAGCUACCUAAGUAUGGUUCUCAAUCAGAGACAACGAUAGACAGCUGCCUCUGAUUGAGAACCACACCCGGCUAAAAAACAAAGAAAUGCAAAACAUAGAAAAUGAACAUAGAAUGCCCACCCUAGUCACACCCUGGCCUAACCAAAAUAGAGAAUAAAAGCCUCUCUAUGGCCAGGGCGUGACAAUAAUUAAAGAUGGCUGCCGUAAAUACGUGAAACUGGAGGGCAACGAAGAAAAACCCCAGAGGGAUAAAGAGAGGGUGUGAAGAUGGCGUGAGUGAAAGAAAAAACACCAUGUGACCUGGCCAACAGGAAACGUUUUCUUCCAUGACCAUCCCUCUAUCCAUCCUCUCACUGUAGCGCCUAACAGCACUGAUACGUCCAGCAGGGGUUAAUUUACUGUACAUCCCUAAUGGCACCCUAGUCCAUAUAUAGUGCACUACUUUUGACCAGGGCCCAUAGGGACGCUGCCUUAGGCCGGGAUACAAUCGCUGCAAUCGGGGGAACAUAACAAGAAGUCCCGCUAUGACCUCUGUGGGAACAUUACUUAUCCCAGACAACCAGGAGGCUACAGCUGAGGACAGGAACAUUACUUAUCCCAGACAACCAGGAGGCUACAGCUGAGGACAGGAACAUUACUUACCCCAGACAACCAGGAGGCUACAGCUGAGGACAGGAACAUUACUUAUCCCAGACAACCAGGAGGCUACAGCUGAGGACAGGAACAUUACUUAUCCCAGACAACCCUGAGGCUACGGCUGAGGACAGGAACAUUACUUAUCCCAGACAACCCUGUAGCUACAGCUGAGGACAGGAACAUUACUUAUCCCAGACAACCCUGGAGGCUACAGCUGAGGACAGGAACAUUACUUAUCCCAGACAACCCGGAGGCUACGGCUGAGGACAGGAACAUUACUUAUCCCAGACAACUCGGAGGCUACGGCUGAGGACAGGAACAUUACUUAUCCCAGACAACCCUGUAGCUACGGCUGAGGACAGGAACAUUACUUAUCCCAGACAACCCUGGAGCUACGGCUGAGGACAGGAACAUUACUUAUCCCAGACAACCCUGUAGCUACGGCUGAGGACAGGAACAUUACUUAUCCCAGACAACCCUGUAGCUACAGCUGAGGACAGGAACAUUACUUAUCCCAGACAACCCUGUAGCUACAGCUGAGGACAGGAACAUUACUUCACCCAGACAACCCUGUAGCUACAGCUGAGGACAGGAACAUUACUUAUCCCAGACAACCCUGAAGCUACGGCUGACGACAGGAAUAUUACUUAUCCCAGACAACCCUGAAGCUACGGCUGACGACAGUAACAAGUAGAAGAAGUUCCGCUAUGACCACUGCAGUCAUCAGACGAGCAAAAGGACAAUUUAGGUGGAAUCAUAUUUCACAGGCUCUGACGCCCGCAGUAUGUUGCAGGGGCUACAGUCCAUUACGGUUUACAAAGGAAGACCCAGCCGUGAUCUACCCAGCGAUGCCUCUCUACAAGACCAACUCAGUGCAUUUUAUGAACGCUUCAACAAUAACAACAUUUGUGCCGGGUGUGAGGUUUGCCAACCGACCCUGAAGAUUUGGUGAUCUCACUCUCCGAGGCCAAUGUGAGAUUGUCCUCGUUGUCCAAAUCACUAAGGAAUUAACAUGGUCUACACACGCGCACAGUCAUGAAGAAGGAACAACAGCGCCUCUUCCCCCUCAGGAGGUUGAAAAGAUUUGGCAUGGGCCCUCAAAUCCUCAAUAAUUUAUACAGCUGCACCAUCGAGAGCAUCUUGACUGGCUGCAUCACCGCCUGGUAUAGUAAUAGCACCGCCCCUGAUCGCAUGGCGCUACAGAGGGUGGUGCAGCUAGCCCAGUACAUCACUGGGGCCGACCUCUCUGCCAUCCAGGACCAAAAUAUCAGGUGGUGUGAAAGGAAGGCCCGGAAAAGCGUCAACGACUCCAGCCAACCCAUAGACUGUUCUCUCUGCUUCCGCACGGUACCGGUGCAUGAAAUCUGACACCAACAGGCCCCUGAACAGUUUCUAUCCCCAAGCCAUACGACCGCUGAACAACACAGACUAUCUGAGUUGACCCUUGUGGUUUAUUUUUUUCACUGUCUCUAUGCACACUGACAGGGCCCUGCACAGUCACACACACUGACAGGGCCCUGCACAGUCACACACACUGACAGGGCCCUGCACAGUCACACACACUGACAGGGCCCUGCACAGUCACACACACUGACAGGGGCCUGCACAGUCACACACACUGACAGGGCCCUGCACAGUCACACACACUGACAGGGCCCUGCACAGUCACACACACUGACAGGGCCCUGCACAGUCACACACACUGACAGGGCCCUGCACAGUCACACACACUGACAGGGCCCUGCACAGUCACACACACUGACAGGGCCCUGCACAGUCACUGACAGUCCAACACACACAAUAGGACUCAUUUUUACACAAUAGGACUCAUUAACAGGCGGUGCUGAACGUGUCCUCUCCGGCCAGAUCAACAGCUGUCCUCCGUGAUAAAGAUCACACACACACACACACACACACACACACACACACACACACACACACACACACACACACACACACACACACACACACACACACACACACACACACACACACACACACACACACACACACACACACACACACACACACACACACAGAAAGGCAUUUCACUAUACUUGUGCACGUGACAUUAAAAAACGUGAACCUUUAAAAGCCGCAUUAAUCACAGAUCUGCUGAAAUCAUCAGCUGCUCCAUACUGCAUAUAAAGGUUGCAUAACUAAAAUGACAGGGAACAUGUUUUAAAGGUAAAUAAAUUGCGUCCAUCUUUUCUAUGAUUGUGUGCACAGACAAUACGUUGUUUUUCAAAUUGAGCCCUCUGGCAUUCUAUCCAAUCAGCGGUUAGCUCUGCUUUAUUAGUUUGCUUUGACAUUUAAAGGUAAUUUCUGAUUGAGCUGACAUAUGCAGUGUUUAACAUAAAUGUGGUCACCGCGAACAUGGGGAACAUUGCCUUUAAAAAGGUGCAUAGCCUAAAAGAGGCGAUCGGAUUGAAUCCCGGAUUGAAUCAGAGGCUCAAUUCAGAAGUGCUAUUGACCCUUAAUUUAUACGCUGCCCUCUCCUAUCAGUCCUCAAUGGAGCGUUUUGCACAAUAGAAUUGCAUCAAAUCUGAAGAGAUGUAGGGAUUGUGUUGUUGUGAAUAUAGAGACGUUGUUGCUAGUGGUGUUCCUAGUCACCAUAUUGUAAUGGUCCCUGGCAGAGCUGUGAAAGUGACAACACACUUCCAGAGAGAGAGAGAGAGAGAGAGAGAGAGCCAGUCAGCCAGCCAGCCAGACAGAGACAGCCAGCCAGACAGACAGACAGAGACAGACAGCCAGCCAGACAGCCAGACAGAGACAGCCAGCCAGCCAGCCAGACAGAGACAGCCAGCCAGCCAGACAGAGACAGCCAGCCAGCCAGACAGACAGACAGCCAGACAGACAGCCAGACAGCCAGCCAGACAGAGACAGCCAGCCAGACAGACAGCCAGACAGACAGACAGACAGAGUGACUUAACAGUCUCCUCUCUUCAGCUGUUGGUGCUACUCACGACCAAACAAUGAAACACACCAUGACAGCUACUAAAGUUCUGAAAGAUGCUCUGCCUCUGAUUACUGAUCACAGCCCGACUGGAGAUGAUCAAUCACACACACGCGCACGGUUUUUGAGUCAGAUAUAGCAGUGAUGGAAGAAGGAGAAUGUGUUAAUGGGAGAAGAGGAUGCGUUAGAGGAGAAGAUGAGAGCAACAGAGAUGAAGACAAGACGACAGCCUGUGACAUGGCCUGUCGACUGGAGGUCAAACGGAGGUGUGUGUGUGUCUGUUUAUGUGUGUGUGUGUGUGUAUAUCCGUACGUCUGUGUGUGUGUGUAUAUCCGUACGUCUGUGUGUGUGUGUGUAUAUCCGUACGUCUGUGCGUGUGUGUAUAUCCGUACGUCUGUGUGUGUGUGU
ensembl:lncRNA